AUCGCUUCUCGGCCUUUUGGCUAAGAUCAAGUGUAGUAUCUGUUCUUAUCAGUAUAAGGGAUAACUGACAAUAUUAUUAUCAUUAUCCAAAGAGGUUUUUCUACUUUUCCUCCCCCU
rnacentral:snRNA from 1 species